rnacentral:rRNA from 1 species
UACGUAGGGUGCAAGCGUUGUCCGGAAUUAUUGGGCGUAAAGAGCUCGUAGGCGGUCUGUCGCGUCGGCUGUGAAAACCCGGGGGCUCAACCCCGGGCCUGCAGUCGAUACGGGCAGACUAGAGUGCGGUAGGGGAGACUGGAAUUCCUGGUGUAGCGGUGAAAUGCGCAGAUAUCAGGAGGAACACCCGGUGGCGAAGGCGGGGUCUCUGGGCCGUAACUGACGCUGAGGAGCGAAAAGCGUGGGGGAGCGAACAGG